GGUAGAAUGGCUGAGAAUUAGGUGAUAGACUGUAAAUCUAUUUAGGAGGAUUACCCCUCUUCUACCA
rnacentral:tRNA from 1 species